rnacentral:rRNA from 1 species
CCUACGGGUGGCAGCAGUAGGGAAUGUUGCGCAAUGGGCGAAAGCCUGACGCAGCAACGCCGCGUGAGAGAGACGUGCUUCGGGGUGUAAAGAUCUGUGAGUGGGGACGAAACGUGACGGUACCCACAGAGGAAGCACCGGCUAACUCCGUGCCAGCAGCCGCGGUAAUACGGGGGGGGCAAGCGUGGUCCGGAAUCAUUGGGCGUAAAGGGUUCGUAGGCGGCACGUAAAGUCUGGUGGUAAAGGCAGAGGCUCAACUUCUGUACGGCACUGGAUACUUGCGAGCUAGAAUGCGGUAGAGGUAACGGGAAUUCCUGGUGUAGCGGUGAAAUGCUUAGAUAUCAGGAGGAACAUCGGUGGCGUACGCGCUUUACUGGGCCGUAAUUGACGCUGAGGAACGAAAGCCAGGGUAGCAAAUGGGAUUAGAUACCCCAGUAGUC